rnacentral:rRNA from 1 species
GACGGAGGAUGCAAGCGUUAUCCGGAAUGAUUGGGCGUAAAGCGUCCGCAGGUGGCAGUUCAAGUCUGCUGUCAAAGACCGGGGCUUAACUUCGGAAAGGCAGUGGAAACUGAACAGCUAGAGUAUGGUAGGGGCAGAGGGAAUUCCUGGUGUAGCGGUGAAAUGCGUAGAUAUCGGAAGGAACACCUGUGGCGAAAGCGGCUCACUGGACCACAACUGACGCUGAUGCACGAAAGCUAGGGGAGCAAACAGG